CAAGACAGAGCAUGAACAUGCAUCUCACUUACACUGAAAAUAUAGAAUAAUAUCUUGUCUUGA
rnacentral:tRNA from 1 species